UAAAGUCAGAAAUAGCACCAAGGCAGGGCAUUUUGUGCUAGUUGGAGGAUUCUGUUUCCAGGGUAAAGAAAGACAAGACAGACAAAAUGUCACCUCCAUGAGUGCCAUACACACUUGGUCUGAGCACAGGGCUGAAAGUAUCCAGCUGUCCUUGGUCUGCAGGAGCUCUGCUUUCACCUGCUAAAGUGCCAGGAUCACAGUGAGAAGGGAGUCACCCAUGAAGAUUUGUUCAUGCAGCUAAGCAAACUUUCAUGGAUAAAAUUCAAAACAGAAAAGGGAAUGAAUACUGUGUACCCAGACAGCAAUAAACAUUUAGCUGCAGACCACUGACAGAAAUCUAUAGACCACCAGUUUGGGAAACCUCAGCUUCGAACUCUAAAUGAUUCAACAUUUGUGUAAGUCAGACACGUUCUGCUAUUAUGUAACUAAAUAAUUUUAUAUCCAUGGUCAUUGUAAUGCUAAGAGGUUCAGACAGUGUAUGAACUGUUUACUCUUGCAAAUUGUCUCUCUAGUAAUUAGGUGAUAAAAUUGAAAGUGCUU
rnacentral:lncRNA from 1 species